rnacentral:rRNA from 1 species
UACGUAGGGACCGAGCGUUGUCCGGAUUCAUUGGGCGUAAAGAGCUCGUAGGCGGCUUGUCGCGUCGUUCGUGAAAACCCGGGGCUCAACUCCGGGCUUGCGGGCGAUACGGGCAGGCUAGAGUUCGGUAGGGGAGACUGGAAUUCCUGGUGUAGCGGUGAAAUGCGCAGAUAUCAGGAGGAACACCGGUGGCGAAGGCGGGUCUCUGGGCCGAUACUGACGCUGAGGAGCGAAAGCGUGGGGAGCGAACAGG